rnacentral:rRNA from 1 species
AACUCGUAGUUGAUUUCGGAACCGAUGGAUCGGUCACGCCAUUCGGUGUGUACUGGUUUAAUUGGUUCUCACCUUCUAAGGAACCGUGAUGUCAUUAAUUUGGUGUCGCGGGAAAUUAGGACUGUUACCUUGAAAAAAUUAGAGUGUUUAAAGCAAGCUCACGCUUGAAUACAUUAGCAUGGAAUAAUGAAAUAGGACAUUGUAUUCUAUUUUGUUGGUUUCUAGGAUCGAUGUA